UCUGCCUCCGCUCUGCCCCGAGCCGGCAUGCGCAGCGCCGGGCACCGGCGGCUCCUGCGCUGAACGGCGUGACGGAGGCCGCCCGGGCGCCGGCAGCGGGCGGGACACCGCGGCGGCGGGCGCUGCCGGCAGGUUCCGCGGUGCUGCUUCGCCGCGCUUCGUCCCGGAGCGGCUCUGCUCUUCUGGACUCAACAUCAGGGGUCUAUGUUUCUCCUGCGAGAGUUGCUCACAUGCCUAACAUCUUCAGGAUAACGGGGCAAAAGAUGCAGCCCCCUGUGUUACCUAGGUGGUGGAUGUGGACUUUAAAACAGUGUGUCUCAACAUUUCAUCCUCAACUAUCUAUUUUUAAUCUGAUUGCACUACAAAAGAAAAGCUGCUAAUGGGAUAAAUGUUGAGAUGUUGCAAGAACUGACUUGAAGUACCAAAAGCCAUUACUAUAAAUCAAGAAGAGCUCGAAGCUAAGUCUGUAUCUGAUUAGUCAGU
rnacentral:lncRNA from 1 species